UCCACGCUGUAAACGAUGAUCACUCGUUGUUGGCGACACAUUGUCAGCGACUAAGCGAAAGCAUUAAGUGAUCCACCUGGGGAGUACGGCCGCAAGGUUGAAACUCAAAGGAAUUGACGGGGGCCCGCACAAGCGGAGGAACAUGUGGUUUAAUUCGAUGAUACGCGAGGAACCUUACCUGGGCUUAAAUGCACGACGAUUAAUCGGGAAACCGAUUUUUCCUUCGGGACGGAGUGCAAGGUGCUGCAUGGUUGUCGUCAGCUCGUGCCGUGAGGUGUCGGGUUAAGUCCCAUAACGAGCGCAACCCCUAUCGUUAGUUGCCAGCGGGUAAUGCCGGGGACUCUAACGAACUGCCGGUGUAAACCGUGAGGAA
rnacentral:rRNA from 1 species